UAGUGACCGAUAGAGAACCAGUAACGUGAGGGAAAGGUGAAAAGUACGCCGGAAGGGGAGUGAAAUAGAACUUGAAACCGUGUGCUGACAAGUAGUCAGAGCCCGUUAAUGGGUGAUGGCGUGCCUUGUGAAGAAUGAACCGGCGAGUGACGAUUUGAUGCAAGGUUAAGCAGUGAAUGUGGAGCCGUAGCGAAAGCGAGUCUGAAUAGGGCGUUGAGUAUUUGGUCGUAGACCCGAAACCAGGUGAU
rnacentral:rRNA from 1 species